rnacentral:rRNA from 1 species
GACGAACGCUGGCGGCGUGCUUAACACAUGCAAGUCGAGCGGUAAGGCCCUUCGGGUACGACGAGCGGCGAACGGGUGAGUAACACGUGGGUGACCUGCCUCUAGCUCUGGGAUAAGCCUGGGAAACUAGGGUCUAAUACCGGAUAUGACUCCACGGCGCAUGUUGUGGGGUGGAAAGCCUUGUGUGGCUAGAGAUGGGCCCGCGGCCUAUCAGCUUGUUGGUGGGGUGAUGGCCUACCAAGGCGACGACGGGUAGCCGGCCUGAGAGGGCGGACCGGCC